rnacentral:tRNA from 1 species
GUUGUGGCUCAGUGGUAGAGUGCUCGCCUAGCACAUGUGAGGUCCUGGGUUUGAUCCUUAGCAUCACA